rnacentral:rRNA from 1 species
AGUGAACGCUGGCGGUAGGCCUAACACAUGCAAGUCGAACGGCAGCACAGUAAGAGCUUGCUCUUACGGGUGGCGAGUGGCGGACGGGUGAGGAAUACAUCGGAAUCUACUUUUUCGUGGGUGAUAACGUAGGGAAACUUACGCUAAUACCUCAUACGACCUACGGGUGAAAGCAGGGGAUCUUCGGACCUUGCGCGAUUGAAUGAGCCGAUGUCGGAUUAGCUAGUUGGCGGGGUAAAGGCCCACCAAGGCGACGAUCCGUAGCUGGUCUGAGAGGAUGAUCAGCCACACUGGAACUGGGACACGGACCAGACUCCUACGGGAGGCAGCAGUGGGGAAUAUUGGACAAUGGGCGCAAGCCUGAUCCAGCCAUACCGCGUGGGUGAAGAAGGCCUUCGGGUUGUAAAGCCCUUUUGUUGGGAAAGAAAAGCAGCAGGUUAAUACCCCGCUGUUCUGACGGUACCCAAAGAAUAAGCACCGGCUAACUUCGUG